AUCAUAAUAUAAUUCAUAACAUUCAAAACUCAUUUCAAUUCAUAUAAAACAAUUACAUUUCAUCGAAAAUAAUCAAUAAAGCUUAUGACUCUCUUAAACUUGGCUCGUGCCAAAACUCGUACUCGGUGACACCUUGGCCCGGGCAUCCAAUCGAGUCCCCCAAGGCUGUUAAAACUAUAUAUACACAUAAAACAUGUUUUUACAUUUAAAAACAUAAUCAUUCCUUGGCGUUGGCUGAGUUUCACCCUCACGUGGUGGUUCGGCGUGAAGUGAACUCUAAAUAUACCUUAGGAGAUACCCUCCGCGCCUCUCAUACUAAGGUAAAAUAUAAUGGAGUUUAUUGUGCCCCUCUAAUAGGCUAGUCCACAGAAACCCGCCCACUGCAGUUAGCUAAUCAAAUAACCCACCAAAUCAAUAAACAUUUCGACAGCAUAACAUGGCUAAUAAAAUAUUACCCAGCCUGUGUCACGGCAAAACAAAGCAGUUUAUACAUAUUCCACACAAAACACAAAUCCAACCAUUCAUGCCAUCACAUUGUCAUAAGCCACCAAUUCAAACCACAUAUCAAAACACGAGUAUAUAGUCUCCACUUACUCAAUUUCCAAAACCAGUAUUCAAUUUCAAAACAAGUUAUAAAACUCAUUUCAUUUAACCAACAAUUCAAGUUUAAAACAUAAUAAUUUACCAUUUAAACUCAUUAUUCUUUAAAACAUAAAAACGAGUAGAAACAACUUUAGAUAGUUAACAUGAAAGUUUGUUACUCACAAUAGCGGGAGUUUGGAGUACUCCUAUUCUUAGUCCUCGGGUACAAUAUCUUUACCCUUAUUAGAAGGCUCACCACCUAUACAUAAUACACGACAUGUAAUUCAAUAUAUUUGUGCCAAACUGUUAUAAAAUUAUUUCAGGCUCUAUAUGAAUGCAUGAAAUUAAAUGAGAAUUGUCUGAAUAAUCACUUAAAGACUGUGUUCUACAUGGGUUCAAUUAUGAUCGGACUGAAUUUGUAUUCGACCUAACUCAAACUAUACACUGUUGAAUCAACCAAAACAUCCAAUUGAACUUCAAAUAUAUUCAUUUCACUUCCAAAAUUCCAAAUACACCUAAGUACCUCAAUGAGCUUAAUUGUGACUUAAUUCACCGUAAUUAAAAUUCAUUCCGAUUUCGAUAUCCGAUACCAUAAAUCAUCAAUUAUGAGCUAAAUAACUUGAAAUACAACAAAAUCCAUCAUCAAUAUGUCACCCAUAAAAUUCGGCCAAAGAGGGUUGUUGAAGGGCAUGUGAUUUUCUUGCUUGUUUUUCAUGCCAAACAUCAUCAAACAACUAAAAACACUAAGAUAUCAUGAAAUCUAGCAAAAUCCACCAUCAAAACCUCUCUCCCUAAGUUCGGCCAGCAUGCAAUCCCUCAUGGAAACUUGUGUUUCAUCCAUAGAAAGUGAAACAGAAAGCAUGGGUAAGGUAAAUCUUAAGCUAAAAUUGAAAAAUCUUACCUUUGAUUAUUUUGUUCCUUGAAAUUCAACAAAUUUCUCUUGGAUUUUCUUCUCUAGGGUUUGCUCUUAUUCUUUUCUCUUUGUUCUUUGCUUUGGC
rnacentral:lncRNA from 1 species